GAUGAACGCUAGCUACAGGCUUAACACAUGCAAGUCGAGGGGCAUCAGGAAGAAAGCUUGCUUUCUUUGCUGGCGACCGGCGCACGGGUGAGUAACACGUAUCCAACCUGCCCUUUACUCGGGGAUAGCCUUUCGAAAGAAAGAUUAAUACCCGAUGGCAUAAUGAUUCCGCAUGGUUUCAUUAUUAAAGGAUUCCGGUAAAGGAUGGGGAUGCGUUCCAUUAGGUUGUUGGUGAGGUAACGGCUCACCAAGCCUUCGAUGGAUAGGGGUUCUGAGAGGAAGGUCCCCCACAUUGGAACUGAGACACGGUCCAAACUCCUACGGGAGGCAGCAGUGAGGAAUAUUGGUCAAUGGGCGCUAGCCUGAACCAGCCAAGUAGCGUGAAGGAUGAAGGCUCUAUGGGUCGUAAACUUCUUUUAUAUAAGAAUAAAGUGCAGUAUGUAUACUGUUUUGUAUGUAUUAUAUGAAUAAGGAUCGGCUAACUCCGUGCCAGCAGCCGCGGUAAUACGGAGGAUCCGAGCGUUAUCCGGAUUUAUUGGGUUUAAAGGGAGCGUAGGUGGACUGGUAAGUCAGUUGUGAAAGUUUGCGGCUCAACCGUAAAAUUGCAGUUGAUACUGUCAGUCUUGAGUACAGUAGAGGUGGGCGGAAUUCGUGGUGUAGCGGUGAAGUGCUUAGAUAUCACGAAGAACUCCGAUUGCGAAGGCAGCUCACUGGACUGCAACUGACACCGAUGCUCGAAAGUGUGGGUAUCAAACAGGAUUAGAUACCCUGGUAGUCCACACAGUAGACGAUGAAUACUCGCUGUUUGCGAUAUACAGUAAGCGGCCAAGCGAAAGCAUUAAGUAUUCCACCUGGGGAGUACGCCGGCAACGGUGAAACUCAAAGGAAUUGACGGGGGCCCGCACAAGCGGAGGAACAUGUGGUUUAAUUCGAUGAUACGCGAGGAACCUUACCCGGGCUUAAAUUGCAGUGGAAUGAUGUGGAAACAUGUCAGUGAGCAAUCACCGCUGUGAAGGUGCUGCAUGGUUGUCGUCAGCUCGUGCCGUGAGGUGUCGGCUUAAGUGCCAUAACGAGCGCAACCCUUAUCUUUAGUUACUAACAGGUUAUGCUGAGGACUCUAGAGAGACUGCCGUCGUAAGAUGUGAGGAAGGUGGGGAUGACGUCAAAUCAGCACGGCCCUUACGUCCGGGGCUACACACGUGUUACAAUGGGGGGUACAGAAGGCAGCUAGCGGGUGACCGUAUGCUAAUCCCAAAAGCCUCUCUCAGUUCGGAUCGAAGUCUGCAACCCGACUUCGUGAAGCUGGAUUCGCUAGUAAUCGCGCAUCAGCCACGGCGCGGUGAAUACGUUCCCGGGCCUUGUACACACCGCCCGUCAAGCCAUGGGAGCCGGGGGUACCUGAAGUACGUAACCGCAAGGAUCGUCCUAGGGUAAAACUGG
rnacentral:rRNA from 1 species